rnacentral:rRNA from 1 species
GUUAGGAAUAUUGGACAAUGGGCGCAAGCCUGAUCCAGCAAUGCCGCGUGCAGGAAGAAGGCCUUCGGGUUGUAAACUGCUUUUGUACGGAACGAAACGGUCCUGGUUAAUACCUGGGGCUAAUGACGGUACCGUAAGAAUAAGCACCGGCUAACUACGUGCCAGCAGCCGCGGUAAUACGUAGGGUGCAAGCGUUAAUCGGAAUUACUGGGCGUAAAGCGUGCGCAGGCGGUUUUGUAAGACAGGCGUGAAAUCCCCGGGCUCAACCUGGGAAUUGCGCUUGUGACUGCAAGGCUGGAGUGCGGCAGAGGGGGAUGGAAUUCCGCGUGUAGCAGUGAAAUGCGUAGAUAUGCGGAGGAACACCGAUGGCGAAGGCAAUCCCCUGGGCCUGCACUGACGCUCAUGCACGAAAGCGUGGGGAGCAAACAGGAUUAGAAACCCUUGUAGUCC